AAACUAAACCGAACCGUGUAUCAUCCCAUGAGGCCCAAUUGAAUUGCCGCGGUUUUGAUGCAUCGAAUUUCCCACAACCAGCAACCGCCGACCAGAGAGGUGGCAGAGCAGAACUUCUUAGAGCGAGUUUUCGUGAGGAAAGGGAAGGGAGGUCGAGCUUGUGUGGUUGUUCUUCGUGAUCUAGGUCGAAGUCCUCGUAUGCAGUAUCAAGCUCUUUCUCUUGCCCGCCAGGUAUGAUUUUACCGUUUCCUCAACUGAGUCUUGAUUGGUGUGUAUUAUGAAUGUUCAAUUUAGCUGCGUAUUGUUGGUUUCAGUGGUUUCUUUGAUUUCUGUAGAGAACUUGCCAAAAUUCCUAUAGCGACUUGAGUAGUGAUGUACAAAAUUCCUUCAAAAUCUGCCAUGGAUUUUCCGUCCUGUAACACUACUACUUAAGUCUCUCGUUCAGUUUCUUAUGCUUCUUUGGUUCCUUAUAGUUAGAAUUCAUUCGCCUGCCUUCUUCGUUGUGCAGGUAAAUAAAUGGUUGGAAAUUAUGAUGAGUCCAACUUCUUGAUUAUGUCAUGUUUAAACAAAUGACAAAUGGUAUAAUUUUUUCUGGUUUCUGGGCAUUGAGUUAUCUCCUGAUCUUUUUUGAACAACCUGUACUCCUCACCUCUUAAGAAGAGAGAGUGUAUGUUUCUUGAUGGUAAAGGCAUAUGAUUGUGCCUAUGAAUUAUCCAUUCAUAAAAAGAAUCCUCCUUCGGUUCCAACGUCAAUUGAUGUAAAAUGGGCUAGCAACUAAAGCGAUCUGCAUUUAUCAUUGAUUGCCAUAAUUUUGGUCAUACUUUGCUUGCCCUGUCCCUAGGAAGAAAUAGCAGUUUUGUUGCUGUGUACCGCUGGUACUGAAUAUAAUUUUCCCACUCUUUUGUCCAUCGAGUAUGUGGUUGGCUGAUCUAUCGUUGGCUGAAUUAUAGUGUGAUUUUAGUCUAGGAUUGAACAGCAUUUUGGGAAGAUGGCAGAUGGCUCCUUUUGUGUCACGAGACAAUGCAACAUGAACUGGCUGAAAACUGGGAUAUCAAAGCCACAGUUCUCUAUGAUCAACCUCCGAGUUUUUCCACAUUGCUUCACUCCAGGACAAACAUGAGUUGUUUUGUAGGCUACAUAAUGAUAUAAUUCAGCCUCUUGGUCUUCAAG